CCGGCGGCCACCACGUCACCCCUCCCUUCGCAGGGUCCUCUUCCUUUUCUCUGACUCUGCUUCGGAGAGUGCUUCCUUAGCUUCGGGAAGAGGCUGUAAUCUAACUCAUCGUCUGUUUGCUCUGAAAACCAGCGUGGACGUGCAGAGGCCGACUGGAUCACCGUCAGUAACCGUGCUGCCAGUCCGAGAAGCCAGCCCGGCCUCUGAAGCGUACGACCUUGAGCUGCACAAGGACAAGCGCAGACCAAGGGAUGCUCUCUGGAUGAAGAUGCUCCAAGAGAAAAUGAAUACGCAGCAGAGGCAGAGGAAGACCCCCAGCCUCGGCUCUCAGCGGGACCUGGAGAGCCAGCGGAGAGAGGACAAGAUUAUCUGUAAAUCAGAUAAGAAGGAUUCUCAAAGUAAAAGAUAUCUUAGUCGCUUACAUCAGAUGUAUUCCACUUCGCUCGCCAACAUGGAGUUCUCCAGGAGCCUGCUGGAGGCGAGCCGCCGGGGUGCAGACGUGGGCGCGGACGGCAGAGCCGGCGGUCUGUGGGACCCCGCGUUCCUCAGUGGACAUGGGCAGCACCAGGUGCGGCCCCCGGAGAGGCGGCCUGAGGGUGCCCACUGGGCCGCUGGUCGUCAGCGCGAAGCCCGGCCUCCUCUCAUCUUCCUGAGAUGCGACAGCCUGCCUGGCAGGAAGAAAGAUUCCAAUGAGAAGGCAAGAGGACACGCAGCAGCCCUGGGUGGCAUGAGUAACCUUCCAGAACAAAUGAGGAGUAAGCCUGCCUCUCCAGGGAUGACCACAGCACCCCUCACCCUGGAACAAGAGGCUAAGACAGCAAGUCGAUACUGGACUAACUAUGUGGAUUGAGAAAGCGAAUGUAGUGUCUCACCUGCAUGAAAAGAAUGAAGAAAUGUUGAAACUCCCCCCAAAAUAAUUAAAUGGCAGAUUUCUUUUUCUUCAAAUUUAUGACAAGAAAAUAUGGUAUUAUCUAGUAAAUAAUAAUAUAAACCCAGAAAUAUGAAUAAAAAUCAGUAGAAAUAAGAAUCA
rnacentral:lncRNA from 1 species